rnacentral:rRNA from 1 species
UACGUAGGGUGCGAGCGUUGUCCGGAAUUAUUGGGCGUAAAGAGCUCGUAGGCGGUGUGUCACGUCGGCCGUGAAAACCUGCAGCUUAACUGUGGGCGUGCGGUCGAUACGGGCAUCACUGGAGUUCGGCAGGGGGAGACUGGAAUUCCUGGUGUAGCGGUGAAAUGCGCAGAUAUCAGGAGGAACACCGGUGGCGAAGGCGGGGUCUCUGGGGCCGAUACUGACGUGGAGACGCGAAAAGCCGUGGGGGGAGCAAAACAGGG